UACAGAGGUCUCAAGCGUUGUUCGGAUUCACUGGGCGUAAAGGGUGCGUAGGCGGUCGGGUAAGUCUGAUGUGAAAUCUCACAGCUUAACUGUGAAACUGCAUUGGAUACUAUCCGGCUAGAGGAAUGGAGGGGAGACUGGAAUACUUGGUGUAGCAGUGAAAUGCGUAGAUAUCAAGUGGAACACCAGUGGCGAAGGCGAGUCUCUGGACAUUUCCUGACGCUGAGGCACGAAAGCCAGGGGAGCAAACGGG
rnacentral:rRNA from 1 species